CGUGUAGGCGGUUUGGUAAGUCAGAUGUGAAAGCCCUGGGCUCAACCCAGGAAGUGCAUUUGAAACUACCCAACUUGAGUACGGGAGAGGGAGGGGGAAUUCCCGGUGUAGAGGUGAAAUUCGUAGAUAUCGGGAGGAAUACCGGUGGCGAAGGCGCCCUUCUGGACUGAUACUGACGCUGAGACGCGAAAGCGUGGGGAGCAAACA
rnacentral:rRNA from 1 species